UACGUAGGGGGCUAGCGUUGUCCGGAUUUAUUGGGCGUAAAGAGCUCGUAGGCGGCUCGUCGCGUCGACCGUGAAAACUCUAGGCUUAACCUGGGGCUUGCGGUCGAUACGGGCGGGCUAGAGUUCGGUAGGGGAGACUGGAAUUCCUGGUGUAGCGGUGAAAUGCGCAGAUAUCAGGAGGAACACCGGUGGCGAAGGCGGGUCUCUGGGCCGAUACUGACGCUGAGGAGCGAAAGCGUGGGGAGCGAACAGG
rnacentral:rRNA from 1 species